rnacentral:rRNA from 1 species
GACGAACGCUGGCGGCGUGCCUAAUACAUGCAAGUAGGACGCAGUUGCGAACGGGUGAGUAACGCGUAGGUAACUACCUAUUAGAGGGGGAUAACUAUUGGAAACGAUAGCUAAUACCGCAUACUAGUAAAUGGACAUGCGUUGUAUUAGUUGGUAGGUAGGGUAAUGGCCUACCUAGGCAACGAUACAUAGGCGAGCUGGGAGGGAGAUCCGCCACACUGGGAAUGAGGCAACGCCCAGACUCCUACGGGAGGCAGCAGUAGGGAAACUUCGGAAAUGGGGGGAAACCCGACCGCGCAACGCCGCGUGAGUGAAGAAGGGUUUCGGAUCGUAAAGCUCUGUUGUUAAGGAAGCGGUACUUAACCAGAAAGGGACGGCUAACUACGUGCCAGCAGCCGCGGUAAUUC